GAUGAACGCUGGCGGCGUGCUUAACACAUGCAAGUCGAACGAAGCACUUUAUUUGAUUUCCUUCGGGACUGAUUAUUUUGUGACUGAGUGGCGGACGGGUGAGUAACGCGUGGGUAACCUGCCUUGUACAGGGGGAUAACAGUUGGAAACGGCUGCUAAUACCGCAUAAGCGCACAGCAUCGCAUGAUGCAGUGUGAAAAACUCCGGUGGUAUAAGAUGGACCCGCGUUGGAUUAGCUAGUUGGUGAGGUAACGGCCCACCAAGGCGACGAUCCAUAGCCGACCUGAGAGGGUGACCGGCCACAUUGGGACUGAGACACGGCCCAAACUCCUACGGGAGGCAGCAGUGGGGAAUAUUGCACAAUGGGCGAAAGCCUGAUGCUGCGACGCCGCGUGAGCGAAGAAGUAUUUCGGUAUGUAAAGCUCUAUCAGCAGGGAAGAUAAUGACGGUACCUGACUAAGAAGCACCGGCUAAAUACGUG
rnacentral:rRNA from 1 species